UACGGAGGGUGCAAGCGUUGUUCGGAAUUACUGGGCGUAAAGGGCGCGUAGGCGGCUUGACAAGUCACUUGUGAAAUCUCCGGGCUUAACUCGGAACGGCCAAGUGAAACUGUCAUGCUAGAGUGCAGAAGGGGCAAUCGGAAUUCUUGGUGUAGCGGUGAAAUGCGUAGAUAUCAAGAGGAACACCUGAGGUGAAGACGGGUUGCUGGGCUGACACUGACGCUGAGGCGCGAAAGCCAGGGGAGCAAACGGG
rnacentral:rRNA from 1 species